UUCACUUUCACACGUUAGCUGAAGUUCAAGAAGCGGUUAGAGCUAACUUAGCUCGGUGUAAUGAGCUAAUCUAAGUGUAACGUUAGCUCUCUGGCAGACUGAAACAAUGAGCUCAGAGUGCAGUCAGCCUUGGCUAGCUUGCUGCUGCAUGCUGUGUUGGCUACAUAACGUAAAGCUAGCCAGCUUGCCAUGCACACAAGGCUAACGUUAAAUGGCUAACGACUCGUAGCACUAUUAACAAUAAGAAGAAAAAAAGAAGAAAAAAAUGUACUUACUUACCGACUUAGCUAGACACUCCUAUUCCAAACCGUGGUCUGCCCAUGGUGGUGUAUGCUCCAUAAAAAGAACAAAUCAACGGUAAUUAUGCUUUACUUAUAAGAAAACCUCUAAAAAAAAAUCUGAAGCACCAGAAAGCAGUGGCAGCGCACUCCCCAAGACAUCCAACACAAGAGAGGAGGGGAGGCCAGCGAUUCACUGGACUUCUGCCAUCACACUUCGAGAUACCGUCCACAGCGUAAACAGCCGAGUCCCGAGCGCAUUUUUAUCGGUGCCGUCUCAAGCCAGACACAAGUCCAGUCCUCUCCAGCGACCCUCUGUCAAUUAUUCCCACAGCGAAUAGCUUUCAAUCCAGGUUAAUUCCUCCGUAUUCACCGUCUCUGGAUGAGCGCCGUGCUGGUUCUUCGUGUGGGAACUGAUACAAUGUAGCCAACCAGCAGCAGCGAUUAGGAAAUCCAGGAUAGAGAAGUUCCUCUCGGAAUGGACUGGGAUACGUCAGGCGCUUGGUCAUCCAGGUCAUGGUAGCCUUCACAGCUUGGAAAAGGAGGAAUCCAAGAGGCUUUUUCGGUCCCCUGUAAUAAACCUCUAGAGGAGGCUGUCUUCUUUGGAGGUGGUCCUGAAGGUCGCUAACCUACUAUUGAUCUUGAAGCAGUGAAUGAGUAAACCCCACGUUGCGAGAGAAUGAGACGGACAGAAGAUGAGUUGCAGUUGUUGGGAUUUGAUGACCUGACUUGUCUGGUCGUAGCCAUCAGCGAAGGUCGUGUAAUGGAUUGGAGUCAUGCACACAACAAAGUACAUUAAGACGAGGAGAAAUCACCCUUGUUGAAUAUAAGGUCACUUAAGAGCCACGAAUUAAUCAACAUAAUGAACAUGGACGUCAGUAAAGUAAUAUGGGAUACAUUAUGCUGGGGAGAUUAUUUUAAAACAAAGUUGUAAGACCAAUCUGCUUCCUAGACUAAUCUCAGGUCAAAUACGUGACCUAAAUAA